GUAGUCCACGCCGUAAACGGUGGGCGCUAGGUGUGGGGACCAUUCCACGGUCUCUGUGCCGCAGCUAACGCAUUAAGCGCCCCGCCUGGGGAGUACGGCCGCAAGGCUAAAACUCAAAGGAAUUGACGGGGGCCCGCACAAGCGGCGGAGCAUGUGGCUUAAUUCGAUGCAACGCGAAGAACCUUACCUGGGCUUGACAUGUUCGGAAAACUCGCAGAGAUGCGGGGUCCGCAAGGGCCGAUCACAGGUGGUGCAUGGUUGUCGUCAGCUCGUGUCGUGAGAUGUUGGGUUAAGUCCCGCAACGAGCGCAACCCUCGUUCUAUGUUGCCAGCGCGUAAUGGCGGGGACUCAUAGGAGACUGCCGGGGUCAACUCGGA
rnacentral:rRNA from 1 species